AAUUUAUUUCUGUGUCAAAUGGCAUAGUUUGUAACCUUUUAAUUGUGGCAACUGUUAUGCCAUCUGAUCUUUCCAUCAGAAAUGCUCAAAGUGUUGUCUUGCCUAGGAGCCAUUGGACUCCUCCAAAAGGUGGGUUUUUUGUAUUUUAAAAUGUAAUUUAUUCUGCGGUUGUACAGUACAUGGAGAACAGUAAUCGACAAACUGAUGAAGUUGAAGUUGAACUCGGCAUACAGCAUAUUUUUCUCCAAGACUCAAUCCUGUUCAGGGUUAUGAGUUGGAGCCUAUCUCAGCUGACUUUAGGGGAGAGGCUGACAUGACCAUGGACUGGCUGCCACAAUUUAUCUGACGAACAGCUAAAGAAAGACAUCUUACCCCUUACUGGUUCAAAUUAUCUAACCCUUCCCACAGAGGGUACAAGGUUUUUCAAAAGAAUGUUGAUUGAUUCAAUAAAUUCAAGUAGAAAUAAAUGAAGGCUAGUGUAGAGCACGAUACAUGAUCAUGUCACUGUCAAUACUCCUCUGUCUCCCAGGUUGCCUCAUCAGAAAACACACUGACCACAGAUUGUGUUGCUCUGACUCAUUGUGUUAUCAAGAUGACACAGUUCGGCCACAUAUUUGGCUCUCAUGAGGUAGAAGGUAGGAUGGUAUUUACGCAUUGGAUGCAGGAGGAGAUAGAGUAGAAGGUGAAGAGAAAUGCCAGUUAAAAAGAGUGCUUUUCUGCAAGAAAAUACAGUAAGAGCAAAACUGUAAAAAAGUCUGUGGAUGUCCUUUCUACAACAUGAUUCCAAAGAGUUCAUCUCUGUGUGUUCAGCAUUUUAUACUUGGUUUCUCACCCAUGUGUUUGUGUGACACAGGACGGAUCUCAAUGACAAAAGACAAGAGAUGAAGGGUGGAAGGUGAGGCGACAGCCACAGUUUUAGUUCGAAUGGAGGGGAGGCAUUUCCUGGCCUGUAAACAUUGUUUUUGAUUUUCUUCACCUCUUGGCUUCGAGCACUGUCUUUGUCAAACUCCAUUUUGGCCCAGCGUUUUAUUUUCCCAAAUGGGAUCCAGGAUAAAUAAGAUUAAAGCAUCAGCAUAAGUAACCUUGCUUUAAUGGUCUUUGGAGUGUUUUCAUGCAGCGCUGUUGUCAUCCUUACUGCCCAGCGGCAUGUCAGAUAUAAAACAUGAACAUUUGAAGCAGCGUGAUUACAGGACACAGUUUGAUUGACUUUGAUCUUCGUGAUCAUGAUGUCAUCACCAGAAAACAGCAGCUUCCCCAAGGAAGGAGUAUCAUUAUUUCACUUUCGUGUGAGGUCACCGCUCCUAUAACAUUGUUACUGUUGUUGCUUAUGUUCCACGGCACGACAACACGAUGCCAUUUAUUGACCUCUGUCCACAUUUCUGCAGUGUCCUUAAUGGCUGCUUACGCUUCCCCGCAGACUCGGUGUUUGUUAAAGAGUUCCUCCAAGGAGAGCCUUCUUUUUCGACAGUUGCUCCUCAACCCUGCCUCCUGCUUGAAUUUCAGCACUUUGUGUCUCUGAUGGAUGACUUCCUGGAGAACAAUGUGCUGUUUUGGGUUGAGGUGCAGAGGUACAAGGUACAACACCAUACACAGGACCUGUGUCAUUCUAACAGUGAUGAGGUCACAAUUCAGCAAAAGAUCUCCACAAGUGUUUCACCAACUCAUCCACACCACCAGUCCUGCAGAUAGGUAUCCCUCUGGAACAGGCGCAGCACAUUAUGGAGAAACGCCACAAAAUGGCCCCUUACAUCUUCAGAGAAGCACAGAUCUUGGUGUUCAACAAAUUGCUCUUGGCCAAAGUUUCAGAAGCAUCGGAGCAGUGUACAUGAAGGUCAGUUACUAGAAAUCCUUCAGGAUGAAGGAGUCAAACACAAAGCUACAGUGCAUAAAUAAAGGAGGAAGAGGACGAGAGGAAAAUGUAAAAUGGCUUGAUUUCAGUUCUUUUGAGGAUAAAGAAAUGCAAAAUGAUGACAACAGGUUAGAGAAAAGAGAAGAGGCGAAAAUACAUCAUUAAAGACACAGAGUGGCCUGAUAGUGUUUUCCACAGAACAGUUGUCAUGGUUCUACUCCAAAUACAUGGCAGCACUGAAGAGGAAGGAUGUGCUACAUUCUCAUCCUCCCCAUACUCAGGGUCUUCAGAUGGCAGCGUCGGUUCAACAGGAAGUAAAAGCCACCGAAAGACCUCACAACACAUCUCCAGGUCACACGUGAAACAAUGUCAUUUAUGUGAAAGGAAGUAAACAAAUACCAUUUACAAAUGAGGGGUGGUCUCUACCAAUAUGCAAACUGAAGUAAAGAUGGAGUGGAAGAUGUACGACAACACUUAGACAGAUGAAAUGCCGCGGUGCAGUCGUCCGAUGUAGCAGAUUUUCUGUUGAAUUGAACCCCCUUAUUUUUGAGACCAUAUGCACCCAUAUGACUGUACAGUGCAUAUUUUUUGUGGCCUAAAAAACGCAGUACAGUACAAAACAACUGUAAGUGUAUUUAAAAAAAAUAGAAACUUGUUUGAAAGUUUCCCAUUUUUUUCCCAAAAUUAUCAUGCUGGUUUCCUUGGUCAUGGUGACAUUGUUGAUAUACAGCACUCAUCAUAGGCGAGUCACUUUUCAUGAGCCAAAGGGACUUUUGUGUGCGGCCCAGGUUCAAAUCUGUUGCCAAAGGCGAAUGACUCAACCCCAAAAAAUGUUAGUUCCAAAAAUAGCGUGUUCCAUACUCUAAAGAGUCCUCAAGAGUUAACACAACAGCCAUGAUGCUCUGCUGCGUACAACAAACAAAAGAUACACCAUUGCCACAUAGGGUCGGGAGGAUCAAGUAUUAUUGGAUAUCUUUGCCCUGGGAAUAAGUCAGUCCCCUUCUCUGCCUGCAUUGCACCACAGUGGCAGCACCCAAUAAGAACUAAUGGACUUAAGCAACGGCAUUGUUAGUGACAAGUGGAAAAUGUUUGGGCACAUUGUUCAAACCUGAUGGUCUAUUUUAUCCGAUAUCCAUUAUUUCAGGGUUCAGGAUCAUUUUAUCGAUGGUCCAAUGUAUUACUAAAGCAAAAAAAACCCCACAUAAUUAACCCUUUACUCUCCCUCAAACCUCUACAUCAUUUGGAGCAAUUCACAAUCAUCAUUUAUCUAAUAAGACUAUAACUUCACAUAAAAUCCAUCAUACUCAACAGAGAUGCUCAUUAUUUAUGGAUCCUAAAAGCUAUCCUGCUUUGCACUUCUGAGCUAGUUGGUUAACUAAUUGUGUAGUCAAAGGUAGCUAGUUGUUGUGCUCAUUGGCGUAAAGUGUCGUAUAUGUCUUUUCCAUGAAAAACAAAAACAUUCACAAUCACUGCUAAAACUGUGAAUGUGUCUGGGGCCACCAUUCAUGAUUCUGAAGAUUUUUGUACAUAUUCAUGGCAACACAAAGAAACUGAUAUCUGAUUGGAGCCCCAGCUAAAAAAAAAAAAAAAAAAAGUCCCAUAAACACACCUAGAGGCAAGCGAGCUCACGGCUACACCCGAGCGGCGGAGCGAGCUCGUCAGACUCCACGUCAUUCCACCCGAAGAACCAUCCGAAUAUUCAACAUUAUUUACAGCCACAGGUUCAAUUCUGUAUAGAAGUAUACCUCUGUCUUCCCGAUCAACCGAUACUGCUAUUUCUUCAUUAGAUGAGGAUAAAUCCGAGAAAUCUGCGCUGGGCAUAAUGGUGUCCCAUGUAAUUGAGCGUUUGGAAUGGCAGGUAACACGUCACAUCCACGCACGUAGGUCAUGUGACUCGCGAAAAUGGCAGCACAGCUGAAAAUUCAUAAUUGUCGAUAAAAAUCUCUAAACAAUAUUAAAUGAGAGAUGAUUUAACAUCCCAUUAUCAAGAUAGAGUACAUAUUACAUCACCUAUUGGAUACAUUGUUUCUCCAAACCACCGGAACUUUCCUUUAAAGGGGUGGCAUAACCCUUACUUGAAAUAAUUGCAAGGUUGCAACUCAUUGACUUUGCAUUCUUAAUUUAAAAUGCUUUUCCUGGCGUUCACUGCAGCUUCUUUUAGUUCGUUUGUUUCUGUGUGUUUCUCCUUUUGGACUUCUCUUCAGGAGGUAAAAAGCAUGUUCUAUUGGGUAACUUGGUUAACUGACUUGAUCAGUCUAAGAUCUCCCGCUUGGUCCAAAUUGGUAGCGGUUAAUCCUGGUUUCAUCAGUCCAAUAACACUUUCUUCCAAAAUGUUUGUGGCAAAAUAAUUUCGUCAAUUUACAAAAAAAAAGAAUUCAUCCAAACUAAUCAAGAGAAGCUUGUCAAUCACAGUCCAGUCCAUCACUGGAUCUUCACCCAAUAAUGCAUACAUUUUACCUCCUGAAGACUCCAGGAGAAACACCAGGAAAAAAAAUAUAUAUAUAUAUAUUCUGCAGCAAAGGCAUGAAAAAAUAUUUCAAAUGAUGAAUGCAACAGUCUGGUGAAGUCAAUGGGUUGCAAGCUUGAUGCAGUUAUUUCAAGUAAGCCAUCUGCCAUCAAACAUUUUGAUUCACUUUAAAUUAAUCUGGUCCAAUAAUUUUGCUCACUUGAAAAGCUCUGUCCUGAGUUUUUUUUUAAUUAUAUGAAGAUAUAAAGACUAUGAAAUAGAAGAUCAUCAUCUAAACUUUUGUCGUAUUCAUCUUUUGAUCUGAAAACCAAAUUUCUUCAAUAUACAAGAAAAAAGGAAUUUGCCUUGCCCUUCCAAUAUUUUUGGAGGAGACUGUUUUUAUAGAUUCUUGAUUGUAUGUUUUACAUAGUGGCUCAGUGGAUAACUAGUUAAAGCAGGCAGGUCCAAUCCGUCACUCGCCAAUCGCCAAGGCUGUAUUGGUUGAUCGCGUGCCAAAAAAAAAAAAAGUCAGCCAUCAUCCCUCUCGUCGCUUUAUUCAGGUAUGUCGAGUGACUGACAGUCGGUUUGAUCAAUCCUGGCUUUUUUGAGGUGUCACGAUGCAUGUGCAUUUCCUAUUUCCUGUCUGUCUGUUCCUCUCCCCACUGCAAUAACGGCAAUGCCCCUCCCCCACCUUUGGUGGAUUGUGAGAGGUCGGCUGCUUGAAAAGUAGAUCUCGGGACAAAAAAGUGUUGGCACCCCAGGGUUAGAGCAGACCUCACAAGUCUGAGGAAUGCUGGUGUAGUUUGCAUGUUCUCCCCAUGACUGCAUGGGUUUCCUCUGGAGAUUCAGGUUUCAUCCCACAUCUCAAAAACUUGCAUCGUAGGUUAAUUGGAGAACCUAAAUUGCCCCUAGGUGUGAUUGUGAGUGCGACUCUUGUCUGUCUCCACAUGCCCUGUGAUUGGCUUGCAACCAAUUCAGGGUGUACCCUGCCUCCUGCCCGAAGAUAGCUAGGAUAGGUUCCUGCACUCCUGCAAUGCUUGUGAGGAUAAAUGGCUCAGAAAAUGGAUCGAUGGUUGUUUUACAUACACACAAUGACACACAAAUAUUUUUUUCAUUAUAAAUUAUUUCUAAAUAUAAUUGAAGGCCUAGUAGUGAAGACAGAUAGAUCCCCGAUGUGCAAUGACACUAUAAAAGCCAAAAACAUAAGGGUUGUGCUACAAUGUACAGUGUUGCUGUGAAACAUGGUACAUCAUAUCCUGUGAUCACAAUUUGGUUGGCAGCUGGUGUUUCUGGCUUCAUUCAACAUUAUCGCUAUGUACUGUAUAUACCAUGUACUGUUGUGUGCAGUCACAAGUUCAACUGUUUUGCACCUAUGAAUA